rnacentral:rRNA from 1 species
GACGAACGCUGGCGGCGUGCUUAACACAUGCAAGUCGAACGGAAAGGCCCUGCUUUUGUGGGGUGCUCGAGUGGCGAACGGGUGAGUAACACGUGAGUAACCUGCCCUUGACUUUGGGAUAACUUCAGGAAACUGGGGCUAAUACCGGAUAGGAGCUCCUGCUGCAUGGUGGGGGUUGGAAAGUUUCGGCGGUUGGGGAUGGACUCGCGGCUUAUCAGCUUGUUGGUGGGGUAGUGGCUUACCAAGGCUUUGACGGGUAGCCGGCCUGAGAGGGUGACCGGCCACAUUGGGACUGAGAUACGGCCCAGACUCCUACGGGAGGCAGCAGUGGGAAGUAUUGCACAGUGGGCGGAAGCCUGAUGCGGCAACGCCGCGUGCGGGAUGACGGCCUUCGGGUUGUAAACCGCUUUCGCCUGUGACGAAGCGUGAGUGACGGUACUGGGUAAAGAAGCACCGGCUAACUACGUG